rnacentral:rRNA from 1 species
UACGUAGGGGGCAAGCGUUAAUCGGAAUUACUGGGCGUAAAGCGUGCGCAGGCGGUUUUGUAAGUCAGAUGUGAAAUCCCCGGGCUUAACCUGGGAACUGCGUUUGAAACUACAAGGCUAGAGUGUGGCAGAGGGGGGUGGAAUUCCACGUGUAGCAGUGAAAUGCGUAGAGAUGUGGAGGAACACCGAUGGCGAAGGCAGCCCCCUGGGUUAACACUGACGCUCAGGCACGAAAGCGUGGGGAGCAAACGGG